rnacentral:rRNA from 1 species
UACGUAGGGUGCGAGCGUUAAUCGGAAUUACUGGGCGUAAAGGGUGCGCAGGCGGUCUCGUAAGCUGGGUGUGAAAGCCCCGGGCUUAACCUGGGAAUGGCAUUCAGGACUGCGAGGCUUUGAGUGCGGCAGAGGGAGGUGGAAUUCCACGUGUAGCAGUGAAAUGCGUAGAGAUGUGGAGGAACACCGAUGGCGAAGGCGACUUUCUGGCCUAUGAACUGACGCUGAGGCGCGAAGGCGUGGGGAGCAAACAGG